UCUGUAGCAUAGGUUGGUUCUUGAGGAUGAUGUCAGCCAACAAGCAUUUAUUAAAGGCUUUCCCUAAGCGUUAGGCGCUGGGCUCCCAAUGGCAGCAAGAGCGCGGCCCCGUGCACCAGGAGCUUUGAAGGGCUAGAACAUGCAGACAGUUAUGUACAGACACAGCACACAGAGCAGAAGAGAUUCCCAGAGGGAAGGCGGACCCAGCUCUGGCUCACUUUUUCCUCGGGAAAUUUUAGUUUGUAGAUUUCUUUUCUCCAUUUCCACGCUAAGGGUCCUAAGCAAGCACUCAGCCUUUCUGUGAUACACUGUAUCCCAACUACUUGCUACAACGGAGAGGGGGCUGGCUGGACUCGGGAGUCCGAAGACCCGGAUGGAACUCUCUCUCUCUGGGUAACAAGUAAACCGCUUCAUGUCUCCGA